CGAAAAUAAGCUGAAUGAUUAGAAUAAACGUCAAGUGCUAGCAGAACUGAAAGCCGUAUCGGCGAAGUGCUUAUCAUAUGCUGCCAAUAUUACUUGACGAUAUUGUAAGAAAAGUUAUAAGCAUCUACGGAAAUGGCUUGUCAAGGACUCUUAAGAAAACCCAACUGAGCACAAAGAUAAACAACAAAAAUACGGCAGAGUUUAACACGCGAUUUGAAUACUAAGAAGCGUUUUAUCUACACAUUAUCUCAACCCCGAGAAAGAUGGUAAUAAGAUCUGGUUAUCACUGCCUGGGUGGCAAAAUGGGAACUUUAACAGGUGCGAUCGAUCAGACAAUAGAAGAAAGCCGGGAAGGGAAUGGAGAGACACAUAAGAAAUUAGUUCAUGUACAGUCUUCCUGUGUGGGAAGAUGUUAGCCGUGUGUUAACGAAAAUCAGUCAUCUUGCAGUAGUUCAGACGAACGUUUUACUCAAGAAAAGCUAACUACAGGUGCGAGAUAAUAAUGAACUCCAAGAACGUUGAGUAUGAGUUGAACAACAUGAUAGCGUUACUCCUCUAUUCCUCUAUUUUCUUUUUUCUAUGUAUAAAUUUAACUAUGAGCACAAAUAGAGGUUGUUGUUGUGCUAUCACAGUUGAAAACUGAAUUAGCAGAAGAACCCAAAAGACUACAAGCAACAGAAACAUUGGAAGGAAAGAGAGGCACUGAUGGGAGGGAGAGGUGGGGAGUGGGUAGGUAGAGUGCAUGUUUGACGGCUGUCAUAUACGCAGAACCUCUUCUCGCACUUGAACGUCUUUUUUGUUUUUUGUUUUUCACGCAAACAACUUAUCACGGUGUGCGUCAAAAACACUCAAGUUUAACGUCAGUAAAUAUCACCAAAACACUGCAUUCACAACUUCUCAAAAACAGGUAGCUUAUCGUGAACAACAAAGGUCAUUUUAAAUGGUUGUGUGCCCAGAAUCAUGAACACGCAAUUUCUUGAAAAAGUCAGUCAUGAUCCCUGAAUAUCCUACAAGUGAUUUAAACUGUGAUGUACCAUUUUCCAGGCCGAUUUUCGGCCGUGUCAUAUAUUCAGUGUAUAUUUCACUCUGUGAUGUGCAUGAAUGCAAACUAUUCAUCACAUGACUGCAGUGAUUAAUUCAAUUAGCCUCUAGUGUUGAAAACCGAACGCGGGAGGCACAAACAAAGCUUAAGACAAUGAAUGGCAUUUCAGAGGAAAAAGGAUAUAUUGCUGUCUACAAAUGCACGCCCCAUCGAUGAGUUGACGACAAAAACAGAUGCUUUCUUCUGAGCGUUUUGAUUUUCAGACAAAUCCAAAAACCGUAAAUACACAAAUACGCCUUGUUUUUCUCGGGUUUCUUUUUCGCGUGAGACAGAAAAACAAGUCAUCUGUCCUGGUGGGUUUCCUGUUGUUGGUUUCCUUUUGAUACCUUAUUUUACACCUAUUCAAGUGGGUACAUCGACAACUACUUCCGAGAGAGGUGUGAUGAAGCUUGUACAAUAAAAACCGAGGAAAUCAAUAAUACGAGGCGGUUAUACUGUCUGGAAGCUUGGACAACAAGGCAGUCACUGUAUAAACAGUCUUUCCGACGAAGAAAAAUGUAUUGCAUGGCUAUAAAAGGAAAUUUCCAAGAAAGCGCGUUUCCACAGGGCACUACGAGAAAACCGCAACGCUGCGGUCGACAGACAAGAAUAUAGGAAAUCAUGAUUGAAGUUAUUGUCUCAAUUCAUUCACAAAUUACUUUUAUUAUCUUGAAUUCGGAAAUAAUCGUCUGACAUAUUUUAUUGAGCUUAAAGCUGGCCGCAUCGACAUGUAAUAAAGGUAAAACCACGAAGCUAAAAUAAGAGUCAGCGUGUGGUCAUAUGAAAACAAACUUGUAGCUGUAUAUGUUAAAUUGCAUUUCUAGAAGAAAAAUAGAAAAGAAUAACUGAACUCAGAUAUAAAGAAACCACAAAUGAUAUUGUUGCGUUCGGAAUCGAAAGAAAACUAAACCGCGGCAAGCUUGCGUGAUGUGAUGUGCCGCUCUCCACAUAUACAAGAACAGCUGCGGAAUAAACACAAACAUUUUACAUCUAUCAAUAUAUUGAUAUGCCUUCGCCAAUGCUUAAGGAUGUUUUGCUUCCGAAAGAGUGAAAAACAGCUAAUAUCUUUGACAUCUUUCGCUUGCUCUGAAAAGAGGCCAUCAUGUUAAAACUCAUAACGCAAAUACAUCCUCAAAAAAUCUAAAAAAAGCCUAACUGAACCAAAAAAGGUUCAGAUAAUUUUUUUGCUAACAACAUAUUCGUUUCUCUCGUCUGUCCGUGUUCUAAAACCGCCUUAAAACUGAAAAACCGCGAAGAUGUUUUCAAGAAAUUGCCGUAGUUUUGGCGGAAUCCUUGGAAUUUUUUCGCCUCCCUUGAAACUGUGCAUGGGGUUAUACACUUUCCAAAUUCUCAGACGAAUUAAUACUGUCUAAUUCAAAACAGAUUGCAAUAACCAAAAUAGUACUUACAUAAAAUCCUGUAUUACCCUUUAAUCAAGCUAUGACAGAUAUCUCGUAAAACACAUCAUUAUCAUGUGAUUUUAUCUUUACUACUUGGAUGUCAGGGUCAAAGGAGCUCUCCAAGGCCGAAGCUGUAGGCUUUGUUCUAAAUAAACCGCGUUACGUUGAUGCGAAAAAGUGAAAAAAAAAAAAAAAAACUCCAUAUAGUUCUUGAAGCGCGAGAUAUUAGUCCAAGCUACUCAUUUAAAUUGAUACUUAGAACUGAAAGCAGUGAUAAACCUGGAAGGUAAAUGAAAGUGUGUUGUGAUAUUUCUAUCUGACCUGAAACAAUCUCGUGUCAGAUACAUAAUAUUGCGUCUGUUAAAAGCCUCGGUAAAAGGUUUUUUUUUUAAGUCUGAGAUAAAUGAUGAACUGGGAUUGAGGAAACGACGAUAAGAUCUCCCCACCCAAACAUAAUUAAACACUUUUACAUCUUCUGUUGUGGAUAUGAUUUUUGGACCAAAAAAAAAGUUGUAUUUCAAGUUUUGUGCGAGAAAACUUAACCAGGCACGAUUUACUAACAGUAAUGUACUGUGCUGCUGAAAAUACUUUGCAAUGAUAGAGGCAGUCAAGAGCUAUAACUUCGAGGCGCUAUGUUUUGGUUCGUUUUCAAAAGAAUUGACUUACAUAUGACCUAUUUUAUAUCUCUACUUUAUGUUCUAAUCCUGUCAAGGGUAUUAUAACCAGAACACGCUAGUUUAAAGCGUAGCAUCACUUCAUUGUUCCUUCACUUAGUCUGUGCCAAGUUCUGAGGGUUCCGUGAUGACUGAAGCUAGAUCAUUCAGAGCACAACUUUUUUAGCGUAUAUUUGUAUUUCGUGAAGGUAUUUCGGUAAUUCAACCCUUCCUAAACAUGACCUCACCAAGGAUGAGUUUCGAUCGGACUGCACCAGAAGUAACUCCGGUUUAGAUAGAAGCUUUAAAGUUAUCACAUAAUCUGACAGCCACUGUAAUCAGACAUUUUUAUUGCAUAUAAGGUACUUUAUUUUGGCGCGGUGGUGGACAAAGCUGAACUUCGCAACAUGUCAAUCAACUCUUCUUUCUCUAUUUUGCUAAUUUUGCUGUAAUAUGACGUCUAAAACGCGCUAGAAUUUCAUGGAAACAAACAUCUCUUUCUCCUGUUGUUCGCUCGUUCCCGAAAGCUUAAGUUUUCAUUUGAAAUGACAUCGAUUAACACCAAAGGUGUUUAUAGCCAUACACUCAUCUCCGUUCUUGGCACUUGUCACUCAAACUUUGUUCAGAAAAGGGCUGAAAAAUCGCCGUCAUUAGAAAUACUACGCACCUUUGGAAGAGAUUGACGAAGUGAGAACAAAAAACUCGUCUACUAUUGACAAGAUUUGUAAAACAAAUAUAAGAUUGCCAAUAUCGCCCGAUAACAUUUCAUUUAGUUUCAUCACCAGUCAAAUUCUUUCUUUGGGAAUUUAUAUCGAUUUCAAAUAGGGUUUUUGGGUUACAACGAACACUAACUUCGAUGUUUUUAGGUUAUGCUUUCCAAGUGCUCAGCUUGUAAAGUCAAUUUUUAGUGUCUUGACGUUUAGCUUAGACUCAAAAGAGCUGUUUCCAAAUUACUCCAAAAAUUAAACAUUUUUGUAUUUUGAACGGGUUCAUAAGUUUUCGCUCUGAAAUUUGAUCUCUUUUCCGCGAUAAUUAAGCUUUGUCGACAAAUCAACAUUGUUAUCCUAAGAAACAACACAAUUACUUGGGAAAACAUGUGGGGGAUUUCAAAUUCCUAAAGUUCGCAGACUUAAUUCUUCGGCAAGCAAGAUUACCUCAAAGACAAAUCCCAAAAUCUAAGUCGCACGUUUCGCUUUUGUCUCGCAUGCCAAACUAAUCAAUCGUCGUCAUUUAGCGCUGCAUGGACCUAACUUAUCUGCCAUGUCUUUUGUUACAAUGGAGGCUGCUUUGAUUAAACUUAAUUUGCCUCAGGUCAACCCUUACAAUUGAAUGGGUCAUUCGCUUUUGUUUAAAACCACGACGGCCAACAGAGAGUUGAAAAAUAAUGUCAAGCGGUUACAGGAAAAUUGAUCUAAGGAUAUGAAAUAAGUAAAUAAAGUUCACGGUUUGUGUUCUUAGCAUUGUGGAAAUUAAAAUGGCACACGGACGUGCUUUUGGAAAAGCACUGCUCUGGUUUGCUUUGGUUUGCCUCGCUCCUACACGAAAUACAAGUUUAUCAAAGAAUUGUCAUUACGAACUAGUACGUCCUUAAAUCAAUUUACGACCAAAACUUGGCUUUUAUUACACGGUAUUCACUAAAUUAAAACAGCUUGUAAAUACAAAUAUCUCUAGUGUUCAAAGCUAGCUAUGUACACAUCCAUUAUUUAGGAAUGCCGCCUUCAUUGCGAGAUUUUGGAUACAGAAGACAUCCUAUUUUCAGAAGGAACACAGCGAGUAAUGCUUCACCGUUGUAAGGGUCACUGACUAAAACUUGAUUUACUGCACGUCAGACUAAUAUCAUUCUAACUAGGAGAAAGGGUAAUAAAAUAUAUCAAGCGUAAAA